AGGGAACCAGUAUUGUGCCUCGCGUCGAGUUCAGCGCGAUUCGUGCUGCUCUUGUGCGCAUGAGCGAAGAGGACGCUUCGCCGGGACUUUUACAAAGGGAGCGCAGACACGGGAGAGGGACGUAUAAACAAACUUCCUUGGAAAAAAAGGUAACUGCAAGGCUGUAGUAACACCAUUCCCUGUGACUAUACGUUGAAGAAGUUUAAGAAUGACUGAGCAAGGUAGGUGUUCUUUUUAGUCUAAUGUCACAUCUGCAUGCAUACACCUUUGCAAUAUGACCAAGAAAAUGUCUAAUGUCCGUGUGUGUGUUUAAUCUGUGUCAAACUAAUAUGUGUGAGAUUUUUAAGUGGUCAAGCAUUCUGGGUUUAAAAAGCCACACUAAUUUUUAAAUUAGCAGCAUUUUAGCAUGUUUUGACAAGCUCAGGAUUGACUUUCUCCCACGUGCAUAUUUUCAUCAGAUUAACUUGGUACAUUUUUGCGUUUUUUUUAGACUGCGUGAUUAUCUUUCUUAAAACUAAACUGUAUACAGAGUGUUGAACAUGUCUUAUUGUUUGCAGACUGAAGUGAUUUGUUGUUGAGUCUCU
rnacentral:lncRNA from 1 species